rnacentral:rRNA from 1 species
GACGAACGCUGGCGGCGUGCCUAAUACAUGCAAGUAGAACGCUGAAGGAGGAGCUUGCUUCUCUGGAUGAGUUGCGAACGGGUGAGUAACGCGUAGGUAACCUGCCUGGUAGCGGGGGGUAACUAUUGGAAACGAUAGCUAAUACCGCAUAAGAGUAGAUGUCGCAUGACAUUUGCUUAAAAGGUGCAAUUGCAUCACUACCAGAUGGACCUGCGUUGUAUUAGCUAGUUGGUGAGGUAACGGCUCACCAAGGCAACGAUACAUAGCCGACCUGAGAGGGUGAUCGGCCACACUGGGACUGAGACACGGCCCAGACUCCUACGGGAGGCAGCAGUAGGGAAUCUUCGGCAAUGGACGGAAGUCUGACCGAGCAACGCCGCGUGAGUGAAGAAGGUUUUCGGAUCGUAAAGCUCUGUUGUAAGAGAAGAACGAGUGUGAGAGUGGAAAGUUCACACUGUGACGGUAGCUUACCAGAAAGGGACGGCUAACUACGUG